CUCUUGAGCAAGGGAACACUCAUCUCACCGCUCAGACUUUGAGGUGGCCCUACAUGUAUACAAGUUUGGGGGAACAUGAGAAUUCCAAUUAAAUUCUGGGAAAUCCAGACAUAUAUUCAACAAGUAUUUAUUAUGUGCCAGGCGUUAUUUUGAGUGCUAGAAAUAUAAUGGCAAAUAAAACGAAAAGAACCCUGAUCCUGAUGGAGUGUGCGUCUAAUGAGAAAAAUAUACAAUAAGGACAUAAGCAAAUAAAUUCAUAAUAUAGCAUCAGAGGCGAUAAACAGUAGAAGGAAAAGUACGUCAGUGUAAGGCACAGAGAGCUCCCGGGGGCAGAGUGUUUUCAUUAGGUGGUCAGAGAAUAUCUUGUUUUUUUGUGAGCAGCUUCAGCCAAAGUAAGUAAUCAAGAAUUAUACUUGAAACGAUUGGUUUCCAGAUGUUAAGUAUAACAAAUAUUAAAAUUCCUCGGUCUAACACCCUACUCAUCUUCCAGCUGCUUUAAUUAGAGUAGUUUCUAUUUGUUCUACAAAUAGGGCUUCCUUGUAAAAUUUUCUUUGGAGAUGGGUUUCAUAUCUGAGAGCACUGCCUCAGACCAAAUAAAUAUUAACACAGGAGGAAGCUGAGCGUCAAAGGGAAGCAGUAACUUGGCCAAGGAUGCCAGUGCUCCCAGUGGCCAAGGGAAACCCAGGCUGCGGUCCUCUCUGUCCAAGCUCUGUCCUCGGCCCUCAGGUCCUGGCCUCCAGCACUGAGAGCAACACAGAGUGCCUGUGAGGCGGUCUAACUUCUGCUGACUGGUGAAGGUGGAUCCCCCAGCCCCAGGAAAAGUCAACCAGCAGCUUGAACAGCGCUUCCCUCGCGGAGGCUCAGCACUCAGCUCAUCCCCCGCCAUCGGGCUGUAAUUCAGGUGCCAGCGUUGCUCCUCCAGCAGGAACAUAAGCCCAAACUUAACAAAUUCCUAAAGCAGAACAAAGAAAGUGUCAGAGGGGAAUGGGCACGGAGCCUGUGGACCGCACUAGAAUCUUCUAAUUCUUAGGAAUGCAGAUCGCCCUGUGUAAGGGGCCGCUCAGAGCGCCCGAGGAGCGCCGGUGGCCUCCCUUGGAUGCUUCGCUAUUCAUCCCACCUUCUGGAAGAGGCUAUUCUUUUGUGGCUGUCUUGGUGUUUGGCUGAGUUGUUAUUGAAUUCCUCCCUGACUUCUUUUUUUUUUCCUUCGGAAGACAGAAGAAAAGAAGCCGGCAGUGGAAGUCUUCUCUGGGAAGCCUCCUCCUCCUGCAUCUGGCUGCUCCCUUUGGGGCAGCCUGGUCCGCCUCUCUGGGCGCCAGGUGCGUCUGCAGCGCUCUCCUGGAGGCCGGCUGCAGGUUCAUUAGUGCUCACAAUAGGCACGCAGCGCAGGGGAAUAUGUAAAGAAAGUGGAGGACAUCGGAGUGGCAUUCAAAGCGGCAGGCGGGAGUAGGAGUUUCCCUAGCUUUUCUUCCUUUGUUUCUAAUCACCUUUUCUGUUUCUUCAGAGAGGAUGCUAAUAGAGUGAAUACCUGGGCGUUCCAGGAGAAGAGUUAGUGGAGGUUUCAGAAAAGGAAAUGCAAUCUGGGACGAAAAAUAGCUUUUCUUCCCCUUGGGGUGUGUGUGUGUAGUGUCUGAAUGCUUUGCCACCGAUGAGGCCGAGGACUAAAAGCAGGAUAAAGGCUGUGAUUGGCACAGAAGACCCCUGGUGAAAUUUCUGGCUCAGGUACUAGCUUUCUGUGAGUCCUGUGCAAUUCGGCACAGCCCUUGGGGCUUUGAGUCCUUUUUUUUUUUUUUUUUUUAAUAAAAUAAGAGACUUGGCUAAUAGGAUUUCUAGCCUACCACUCCUUUACAGUUUUAAGAUAUCAUUUUAAAAAGUUACAUUUCAAGACUGUAGUAAGGAGGUGACAUUAUAUACUUAAACAUAAAAAUGUGGAGUGAUUUGAAGAGCACUGAAAUUAUUCCACUCUUCAAAGUAUAUGCAUUUAUGUAUACAUACAUGUACAUACACGUGUACAUAAACAAACAUAUACAUAUAGUCAUUUUCAGAUGCCUGAAAUUCUGUCCUUAAAGACAGUUGUGAAUCCCAGUUCUAUUAGUAUUUGACUGUGACCCUCUUAGUUUUGCCUACUGUCUGCAAGACUCAAUUUUUCUUUUUUUCCUCAUAAUGGGAAUAAAUAUUGUCUGUCUUCUAACUGUGUUAUGAUAUUUAAAUGAGGAAAUGUGUUGAAUGGUAGUUCUUCUUGUCUGAAAGAUAAGAAUACAUGGGUGCCAUCAUCCAAUCUCAAAGUCAUUGGGUUUUGACAGAAAUGGUAUGAUGGGUAAUUAUCCCAUUUCUCCAAAGUCAUUAGGAACCUGAAGUAAUUUUUUUAAACUUGUUUUUCAUGCACCUGUGUUGGCUAGAUCACAGAGCCUGGGCCCAUCCUCUUGAGGAAAUAUUAUCUGCGUCAACCUUCCUCAAUGCCUCCUGGAUGACUUUACCACCAUCUUGCAAAUGUCUAUUAUUUGUUAGCUCUAGAAGACUCAGAGCAAUGAUUGCACCAAUCUGAAGGUUAUUUCUUCCAUGCUGGUCUUCUGCCAUUGGUGAUAUUACAGAUGUUUGUCCAGAACAUUACUGAUGACAGCUACACACCUGGAAAAUAAAGUUUCUUGUUUGUUCCUUCCAAAUUAAUUUUCUGAAUGAACACCAGCAACUCAAAAUGCAUUCAGUUUCAGAAUUCAAAGAACAGAAGAGCAAAUUUGAGGGACACUCUGGCACAGUAGAGGGAAAGUGCUGCAGAGCAGAGAAGCAAUUCUCAACAAGACAAAGCUACUAUAAUAGCGACUUGUGGAGUCACGUUAAGAAGAAAAUAGGCAGAGAAGUGGACUCUUGACGGGAGUCUCAUCCAUCAUUUCCUCUCUGUGCAACCUCAGGCAGGGUACAUAAUCGAUCUAACUUUUAGUUUUCUCUUAUGUAAUCUGGAGAUAAUAACAUAUAUUUUAUAUAAUUAUUGUGAGUAUUAAAUACCAAAACCCCUUUAUGUCACAUGUUUAGCAUAGUGUCUAUAUCACAGUAUGUGCGUCAUAUGAAACUCAGUGCUUUGUACCCGCUGAUUCCUGGUGAAUGAAAUACGGUCACACAUCACAAUGACUGUCUGCUGAAAUGCCAAAAUCCUGCCUGUAGUUCAGGAACCAGAGUAAAGGAAAAUGAACCCUGUAGUGUUUUUACUUUUUCUCUCUUUUUAGAGAAAGAUCAUUUGCAUGUGGCUCCACCUUAAUAAUUGCAUUUGUAAUGCUUUCAUGUUGUCACAUGGUCUAAC
rnacentral:lncRNA from 1 species